rnacentral:rRNA from 1 species
UACGAACGCUGGCGGCGUGCUUAACACAUGCAAGUCGAACGAAGAGCGAUGGAAGCUUGCUUCUAUCAAUCUUAGUGGCGAACGGGUGAGUAACGCGUAAUCAACCUGCCCUUCAGAGGGGGACAACAGUUGGAAACGACUGCUAAUACCGCAUACGAUCUAAUCUCGGCAUCGAGGAUAGAUGAAAGGUGGCCUCUACAUGUAAGCUAUCACUGAAGGAGGGGAUUGCGUCUGAUUAGCUAGUUGGAGGGGUAACGGCCCACCAAGGCGAUGAUCAGUGGCCGGUCUGAGAGGAUGAACGGCCACAUUGGGACUGAGACACGGCCCAGACUCCUACGGGAGGCAGCAGGGGGGAAUCUUCCGCAAUGGACGAAAGUCUGACGGAGCAACGCCGCGUGAGUGAUGACGGCCUUCGGGUUGUAAAGCUCUGUUAAUCGGGACGAAAGGCCUUCUUGCGAAUAGUGAGAAGGAUUGACGGUACCGGAAUAGAAAGCCACGGCUAACUACGUG